rnacentral:tRNA from 1 species
GCAGUCGUGACCGAGUGGUUAAGGUGACUGACUAGAAAUCAGUUUCCCUCUGGGAGCGCAGGUUCGAGUCCUGCCGACUGCG